rnacentral:rRNA from 1 species
ACGAACGCUGGCGGCAUGCCUCACCCCUGCAAGUCGAACGCGACCUUCGGGUCUAGUGGCGCACGGGUGCGUCACGCGUGGGAACCUGCCCUUAGGUUCGGAAUAACUCCCCGAAAGGGGUGCUAAUACCGGAUCAUGUCUUCGGACCAAAGAUUUAUCGCCUUUGGAUGGUCCCUCGUUGGAUUAGCUAGUUGGUAGGGUAAAAGCCUACCAAGGCGACGAUCCAUAACUGGUCUGAGAGGAUGAUCAGCCACACUGGGACUGAGACACGGCCCAGACUCCUACGGGAGGCAGCAGUGGGGAAUAUUGGACAAUGGGCGAAAGCCUGAUCCAGCAAUGCCGCGUGAGUGAUGAAGGCCUUAGGGUUGUAAAGCUCUUUUACCCGGGAUGAUAAUGACAGUACCGGGAGAAUAAGCUCCGGCUAACUCCGUG